CUGUCUCUCUCUUAUUUAUUUAGACAGAGAGAGAAAGAGAAAGACUACAGCACUGACGCUUCCUUCAGUGCAGUGCACUAUCCAAAUGGCCUAUUUUACUGGCCUGGGGAGUGCACCUGCAUUUCUGAGGUCUGAGAAGCUGUUUACAACCCCCCAAGCCCCAGGUGUCUGAACUAGGAUGAAAACAGUGCCUAUGAUCUGAGGGAGGAAAGAGGGCAACUGGGGAGAUGGUAUAAUAGUUCUACAAAAGACUUUCAUGCUUGAGGCUCCUGGGUCUCAGAUUCUAUCCCCAGCACCACCAUGAACUGUUUUCCCUGCUGCCCAGUAUUUUCUUGCAGGGCCUGCAUGGCCACAGGGAUGGUCCCUAACUGUCCUGACUCUAAAGCUCCUCAGCUUAUUCCUCCUUAUUCCCAGCCCCAUUUUGAUCCUCUUGGUCCCUGGUUCUCUCCACCCGCUGCUGUGUUCAAACAUGCUAGGCCUCAUUCCCCCAAGCCAGCUGCUGCUGGGCUGCUCCCUGUACAAACUCCCUUUCCCUGGCCACCCAUGUGGUUUCCUCACAAACUCCUCCCAGUUCUGGACCAAUGGCAUCCUCUCUCAAAGUCUCCCACCCUCAAGCCAAUGCCCCUCUCCCCCUAACAUUCCCAGUCUUAGUUGCUUUUCCUCUUUCUUUGUAUCCUGACAUGCGCACUCAUUUGUUCAUUUACUGUUUCUCUUUACUUCUGCCUCCCCUCACUAAAAAACAAGCUCUGGGAGGAAGUGGAACAUUGUUAAACUCAUGAUGUGGCCCUGACCUGACCAACGGGGGUACAGAAGAUGCUCAAUACCUGUUUCUCUUCUUCCUGCUCCUCCUCUGAGCUUCCUGGAUCAAGGACAGGCAUGCAGAACCCUGUGCUCCAUAUGGCCACUGUCUUUUGUCAAGAUUGACAGCAGGAUGAGGCUAAGGGAAGAAGCUUCACAAAUGGCAGAGCAGUGCUACAGGUCUCUCUUUUUCUCCCUUUCUAUCUUCCCUUCUGUCUCAGUUUUGAUCUCAUAUGAAAAAAUAAAUAUCAAAACUUAAAAAAGAGAAA